AUACGUAGGGGGCGAGCGUUGUCCGGAAUUACUGGGCGUAAAGGGUACGCAGGCGGCCAAAUAAGUCAGAUGUGAAAGGUCACGGCUCAACCGUGGUAAGCAUUUGAAACUGUAUGGCUUGAGUUAAGGAGAGGAAAGUGGAAUUCCUGGUGUAGCGGUGAAAUGCGUAGAUAUCAGGAGGAAUACCAGUGGCGAAGGCGACUUUCUGGACUUAAACUGACGCUGAGGUACGAAAGCGUGGGGAGCAAACAGGAUUAGAUACCCUGGUAGUCCACGCCGUAAACGAUGAGUGCUAGGUGUCGGGGGUCAAACCUCGGUGCCGAAGUUAACACAUUAAGCACUCCGCCUGGGGAGUACGUUCGCAAGAAUGAA
rnacentral:rRNA from 1 species